GACGAACGCUGGCGGCGCGCCUAACACAUGCAAGUCGAACGGAGCUUAGAGAGCUUGCUUUUUAAGCUUAGUGGCGAACGGGUGAGUAACGCGUGAGUAACCUGCCCUAGAGUGGGGGACAACAGUUGGAAACGACUGCUAAUACCGCAUAAGCCCACGGUAUCGCAUGGUACUGAGGGAAAAGGAUUUAUUCGCUUUAGGAUGGACUCGCGUCCAAUUAGCUAGUUGGUGAGGUAACGGCCCACCAAGGCGACGAUUGGUAGCCGGACUGAGAGGUUGAACGGCCACAUUGGGACUGAGACACGGCCUAGACUCCUACGGGAGGCAGCAGUGGGGGAUAUUGCACAAUGGGGGAAACCCUGAUGCAGCGACGCCGCGUGGAGGAAGAAGGUUUUCGGAUUGUAAACUCCUGUCGUUAGGGACGAUAAUGACGGUACCUAACAAGAAAGCACCGGCUAACUACGUGCCAGCAGCCGCGGUAAAACGUAGGGUGCAAGCGUCGUCCGGAAUUACUGGGUGUAAAGGGAGCGCAGGCGGGAAGACAAGUUGGAAGUGAAAACCAUGGGCUCAACCCAUGAAUUGCUUUCAAAACUGUUUUUCUUGAGUAGUGCAGAGGUAGAUGGAAUUCCCGGUGUAGCGGUGGAAUGCGUAGAUAUCGGGAGGAACACCAGUGGCGAAGGCGGUCUACUGGGCACCAACUGACGCUGAGGCUCGAAAGCAUGGGUAGCAAACAAGAUUAGAUCCCCUGGUAGUCCAUGCCGUAAACGACCAUAUGAGGUGUUGGGGGAAUGGACCCCCUCAGUGCCGCAGUUAACACAAUAAGUAAUCCACCUGGGGAGUACGACCGCAAGGGUGAAACUCAAAGGAAUUGACGGGGGCCCGCCACAAGCAGUGGAGUAUGUGGUUUAAUUCGAAGCAACGCGAAGAACCUUACCAGGUCUUGACAUCCGAUGCAUAGCACAGAGAUGUGUGAAAUCCUUCGGGACAUCGAGACAGGUGGUGCAUGGUUGUCGUCAGCUCGUGUCGUGAGAUGUUGGGUUAAGUCCCGCAACGAGCGCAACCCUUAUUGCCAGUUACUACGUUAAGAGGACUCUGGCGAGACUGCCGUUGACAAAACGGAGGAAGGUGGGGAUGACGUCAAAUCAUCAUGCCCUUUAUGACCUGGGCUACACACGUACUACAAUGGCGUUAAACAAAGAGAAGCAAGACCGCGAGGUGGAGCAAAACUCAAAAACAACGUCUCAGUUCAGAUUGCAGGCUGCAACUCGCCUGCAUGAAGUCGGAAUUGCUAGUAAUCGCGGAUCAGCAUGCCGCGGUGAAUACGUUCCCGGGCCUUGCACA
rnacentral:rRNA from 1 species